CCAUAAAGUUGUUCUCAGUUCGGAUUGUAGUCUGCAACUCGACUACAUGAAGCUGGAAUCGCUAGUAAUCGUAGAUCAGCAUGCUACGGUGAAUACGUUCCCGGGUCUUGUACACACCGCCCGUCACACCACGAGAGUUUGUAACACCCGAAGCCGGUGGAGUAACCUUUUGGAGCUAGCCGUCGAAGGUGGGACAAAUGAUUGGGGUGAAGUCGUAACAAGGUAGCCGUAUCGGAAGGUGCGGCUGGAUCACCUCCUUUCUAAGGA
rnacentral:rRNA from 1 species